UACGGAGGAUCCAAGCGUUAUCUGGAUUUAUUGGGUUUAAAGGGUGCGCAGGCGGAAGAUUAAGUCGGCGGUGAAAUUUUGCAGCUCAACUGUAAAAGUGCCAUCGAUACUGGUUUUCUUGAGUGUGGAUGAAGUAGGCGGAAUUUGUGGUGUAGCGGUGAAAUGCAUAGAUAUCACGAGGAACUCCGAUUGCGCAGGCAGCUUACUAGGCCAUAACUGACGCUCAGGCACGAAGGCGUGGGGAUCAAACAGGAUUA
rnacentral:rRNA from 1 species